UGGAUGUCUUUCAGUGGCUAAUGAACACAUAGGCUUCGCUCUCACUGCCCUGCAUAAACACACCCACAAUAAAAAGUGUACUCUGCCCUCUCAGUACCACACCUGAGGAGACAUCUCGAGACUGAAGAUUCUUGGUGGUUGCUGACUUCCAUUUUGAUCCAAUGGAUUUAUUACCCCCGAGUCUCGUAAUAGAGAUCUUCCUAGGCAUCAUAGGCUUUGGAUUCUCCAUCAUAUUCUGCAUCAUGUUCUGUAGAGCAUGCGGUCGCUUAAGGCAAGAGGAGAUAGAGAGGGAGGUCUGGAGACGCAGUGAGCAUGACGGACCCUCACGGUCAAUAUAUUUCAUCCCCUUCCCCAGAGGACUGCCACAGGAGGACAAUGAAUCCCAGCGUAGUGGUGUUGAUGAAAAUGUUGAUGAGCACCACACACCACCAAGAUACAGCACUACAAUCCACAGAGGGCUCCCACCUUCCUAUAAUGAGAUAUUUCAGCAAGAACUUAAGCCAGAUGAUUCACCUCCUGCUUACACUGAACAUAGCAUUCCUUUGUCUGACAUGACAACGUCAGCUGACAUGGACUCUUUCGAUUGACAAGCAGACUCAGCCAUAACAUCUGAGUUUUACUGAUCUGCUGCGUGCACUUCUCUUAAAUACCGCAAGUUUGUUUUCAUAUUCUUCUUCUUCUUUUUUUUUUUAUCAUUGUGAUCAAAGCCACAGAAUCAAGGCCACAGGUUUAAGUACAUUUUCCAUAACACUCAACCCAUCCAGAUUUUACUCCCUUAUAUGACAGCUGUCAAAAUAAAAUCUGAGCACAUAAUUGCACUAAUCUGGGAUAUGUGUUUGACGUGUUUGGUGGAGUUUGCACGUGAGUUAGUUUGGUUAGGAUCCAAACUUGUUUUGUGCACUUAAUUAUUUAUAAAUUAUUAUUAUUAUUAUUACUAUUAUUAUUAUUUUCUACCUCUUGUCUUACUAAUUUAUGUAAUCUUCAAGUGAAAUUAUUGUGUCUUAUUUUGUAUAAACUGACUUUUGUAACCUUUGCCAUUUGAACUAAAUUUAGACAGUAUGUGAUGGUACUUAAUAUGUAGCACACCUCCAUGAUGAACUGACCUUGGCUGUCUAAAAUCAACUUGAUAUUUAGCAAUCAUCAAACCAAAUAGUCACAAUCAUGAGUUAGAUAUUUACCAUUAUCAUCUACUCGACAUUACAUUCUGUCACUAACAGUGUUUUAACUACUGAUCCAGAUGCUGAUUAAGAAAUGCAUUUUCUUUUAUUGAAGUUACCACUUGUUUGGACCACUGUUUACAGAGGGUCAGUAUGUGUUCUCUGGGUGCCCUUUAAUUGAUGUUCGGAACUUAUAUACAAGAAAGUAGCAUUAGGAUGAAGGCAGAGACAUGAAGGGUGCCUGAAUAGGUUUUCUAUCCUUAAGUUAAAUUAUUGAUUAGUAUGCAUUCUUGUAUACUUGUGCAUUUUCUUUAGUAAGCCUGCUCCAACUCACUGCUAAAUGCUAUGCAAAUGACACAAAUCUUUGAAUCUCAGGUCGAAAUGUGAGCAACAUAUAAGGUAGCUGGUCUACUUAAAGGUCUAAAGAGACAACUAUGUCAUGUAGGCAAGGAAAGAGAGGUUCAUUAUAGAAAUCUACAGACACCGUUCUACAUUAAUUAACAAAAUACCAUAUUUCAAAUUUAAGUUUUUUAUUAUGAUGAUAUUGGCAUAUGUGUAUGUCAUAUAUAAAAAAACUCAUUUGACAAUACAGUAUAUAUUAAGUACAGUGAUGUAAUUCCACAAUGAAAUGUAUUUUAACGAAAGUGGAAUAAAAGUUAAUGUGUUUUGCCAAGA